rnacentral:rRNA from 1 species
CCUACGGGCGGCAGCAGUGAGGAAUAUUGGUCAAUGGGCGGAAGCCUGAACCAGCCAAGUAGCGUGCAGGAUGACGGCCCUACGGGUUGUAAACUGCUUUUAUACGGGAAUAACGCGCCUUACGUGUAGGGCUUUGCAUGUACCGUAAGAAUAAGGACCGGCUAAUUCCGUGCCAGCAGCCGCGGUAAUACGGAGGGUCCGGGCGUUAUCCGGAUUUAUUGGGUUUAAAGGGAGCGUAGGCCGCAUGUCAAGCGUGCUGGUAAAUGUCCGGGCUCAACCCGGGCCCUGCAGUGCAAACUGGCUUGCUUGAGUGCGCGAGAAGCAUGCGGAAUGCGUGGUGUAGCGGUGAAAUGCUUAGAUAUGACGAAGAACCCCGAUUGCGAAGGCAGCUUGCUGCAGCGGAACUGACGCUGAUGCUCGAAAGCGCGGGUAUCGAACAGGAUUAGAUACCCCUGUAGUC